rnacentral:rRNA from 1 species
AACGAACGCUGGCGGCAGGCUUAACACAUGCAAGUCGAACGCAUCGCAAGAUGAGUGGCAGACGGGUGAGUAACGCGUGGGAAUCUACCCUUUUCUACGGACUAACGCAUGGAAACGUGUGCUAAUAUCGUAUACGCCCGGAGACUGGGAAAGAUUUAUCGGUGUAGGCUGAGACCGCGUUGGAUUAGCUAGUGGGUGGGGGAAAGGCCUACCAAGGCCACGAGCCAUGGCUGGUCUGAGAGGAUGAUCAGCCACAUUGGGACUGAGACACGGCCCAAACUCCUACGUGAGGCAGCAGUGGGGAAUAUUGGACAAUGGGCGCAAGCCUGAUCCAGCCAUGCCGCGUGAGUGAUGAAGGCCCUAGGGUUGUAAAGCUCUUUCACCUUUGAAGAUAAUGACGGUAACCGGAGAAGAAGCCCCGGCUAACUUCGUGCCAGCCGCCGCAGUAA